CCUUUCUCCCCGCCGCAUUCCCGGUGUCGACUUACUAGCUGCAAGCCUCUGCCUGCCUUCCUGCGCGCCGUUCCCCGCUAGUCGCUGCUGCUGGCGCGCACUCGCCGGGUUUUUCCUCCCACGGCCUCGAGAUGGUGGUGAAUGUGGCACGGAGGAGCCGGGCCUUCCAACCCGGUGGGCCCGAGCUCCGAAAGGCCCCCUCGGCAGUGAGAGGGGCGGGAGCCCGCGGGGGCCGCGCCCUUCUCUCGCUUCGGACUGCGCAACGCUGCGCUCUGGGCUGACAGAUGAAGACUCUUAAGAUGACAGAAGGUGAUUUUUCUGGUGAUCGAGGACUUCCGGGGUAAUGACAGUGAUGAAAUGCAGGGGACCUGGUUGCCCCCAAGUUUCCUGGCAGUGUGUGAUACUGAGGAGGUGAGCUUGUUUCUGGAGCUGUGCUUUAAGGUAAAGUUGAUCAGCUUAAUCCUCCUGAUCCCUUUCCCAUCGGAUCUGAACACUGGUCUUGGUGGUCGUAAAAGGAGGAAAAGUAAUAGUGAAGCUGGCCUAAAUGUUGUAAUCUGGUAUAUGGCAUGUGGGCUAGUUUCAGACAGGUUUCAGAGAUGGUUGGAUCUCUGAAAUUGUAAAAUGAAGUAUAAUCUUAGGCUAAGGGAAGGAUGCGUGUGAAGCUCUGGAGGUUGGUAUAGUAAUAGCUGACCUAUUACUGCAUUUGGGAGGGAUCUGUCAUAGCUUCCUUGCCUCUUAAUUAAGGGUGGUGUUUUUUUCUUUUAGAUUCAUGUUACAUGUAAAGCUGUCCUCAUUUGUGACUAUGGACCUAUGGAGUUGGGACAAUCUCUAUGGGAAGCAGAAGGCAAGGACCCCGGUCAUUUUAGGUAGAAACAACAGCAUGCUAAUGCAAAAAAUUAUGCAGUGUGCUACUGAACUUCAGAGGUGAUCAAUAAAAGAAGAAUAAAAAGACUAAUAAAAGUA
rnacentral:lncRNA from 1 species